CCUACGGGGGGCAGCAGUGGGGAAUAUUGGACAAUGGGGGGAACCCUGAUCCAGCCAUGCCGCGUGUGUGAAGAAGGCCCUCGGGUUGUAAAGCACUUUCAGUGAGGAAGAACGCCUGGUGGUUAAUACCCAUCAGGAAAGACAUCACUCACAGAAGAAGCACCGGCUAACUCCGUGCCAGCAGCCGCGGUAAUACGGAGGGUGCGAGCGUUAAUCGGAAUUACUGGGCGUAAAGCGCGCGUAGGUGGCUUGAUAAGCCGGUUGUGAAAGCCCCGGGCUCAACCUGGGAACGGCAUCCGGAACUGUCAAGCUAGAGUGCAGGAGAGGAAGGUAGAAUUCCCGGUGUAGAGGUGAAAUGCGUAGAGAUCGGGAGGAAUACCAGUGGCGAAGGCGGCCUUCUGGACUGACACUGACACUGAGGUGCGAAAGCGUGGGUAGCAAACAGGAUUAGAUACCCCAGUAGUC
rnacentral:rRNA from 1 species